CCUACGGGAGGCAGCAGUGGGGAAUUUUGCGCAAUGCUCGUAAGAGUGACGCAGCGACGCCGCGUGAAUGACGAAGGCCUUCGGGUCGUAAAGUUCUUUCGACAGGGAAGAAAAUGCCUAUAAGUAACUGUGUAUGUAUUGACGGUACCUGUAUAAGCAGCCCCGGCUAACUCCGUGCCAGCAGCCGCGGUAAUACGGAGGGGGCGAGCGUUGUUCGGAGGGACUGGGCGUAAAGAGCACGUAGGCGGUGUUGUAAGUCAUUAGUCAAAGACUAGAGCUCAACUUUAGUAAGGCUAGUGAUACUAUAAUACUAGAGUAUCAGAGAGGAUUGCAGAAUUCCUGGUGUAGCGGUGAAAUGCGGAGAUAUCAGGAGGAAUACCGUUAGCGAAGGCGGCAAUCUGGCUGGAAACUGACGCUGAGGUGCGAAAGCGUGGGUAGCAAACAGGAUUAGAUACCCCUGUAGUC
rnacentral:rRNA from 1 species